UACGUAGGUGGCAAGCGUUGUCCGGAUUUAUUGGGCGUAAAGGGAGCGCAGGCGGUGACUUAAGUCUGAUGUGAAAGCCCACGGCUCAACCGUGGAAGGUCAUUGGAAACUGGGUCACUUGAAUACAGAAGAGGAAAGUGGAAUUCCAUGUGUAGCGGUGAAAUGCAUAGAUAUAUGGAGGAACACCAGUGGCGAAGGCGACUUUCUGGUCUGUUAUUGACGCUGAGGCUCGAAAGCAUGGGUAGCAACAGGAUUAGAUA
rnacentral:rRNA from 1 species